rnacentral:rRNA from 1 species
AAUGACUGCUGGAGGCGUGCUAACACAUGCAAGUCGAGCGAGAAAGUUCCCUUACGGGGAGCGAGUACAGCGGCGGACGGGUGAGUAACGCGUGGACGAUCUACCCAAUGAUUCGGGAUAACGCUUGCGAAAGCGGGGCUAAUACCGAAUGGUCUGGGCAUUUUAAAAUGUGCCUGGUAAAGGUGGCCUCUGAUGUAAGCUAUCGUCUUUGGAUGGGUCCGCGUCCCAUUAGCUUGUUGGUAGGGUCAUGGCCUACCAAUGCGACGAUGGGUAGCUGGUCUGAGAGGAUGAUCAGCCACACUGGGACUGGAACACGGCCCAGACUCCUACGGGAGGCAGCAGUGGGGAAUAUUGGGCAAUGGGCGCAAGCCUGACCCAGCAACGCCGCGUGAGGGAAGAAGGUCUUCGGAUCGUAAACCUCAGUCAGGAGGGAAGAAAUGGGUUGUCCUGAACAGGGAUGGCCUUUGACGGUACCUCCAGAGGAAGCACCGGCCAACUCCGUGCCGGCAGCCGCGGUAAUACGGAGGGUGCAAGCGUUAUUCGGAAUCACUGGGCGUAAAGCGCACGUAGGCGGCUUUGCAAGUCAGGUGUGAAAGCCCUCGGCUCAACCGAGGAAUUGCACUUGAAACUGUAGAGCUCGAGUUCGGGAGAGGGUGGCGGAAUUCCAGGUGUAGGAGUGAAAUCCGUAGAUAUCUGGAGGAACACCAGAGGCGAAGGCGGCCACCUGGACCGAAACUGACGCUGAUGUGCGAAAGCGUGUGGAGCAAACAGGAUUAGAUACCCUGGUAGUCCAACGCCGUAACGAUGGAUGCUAGAUGCUGGGUGUGUAAGACAUCCGGUGUCGGAGUUAACGCGUUAA